AGAUUGCCAUGCUGUUGCGCGAGUUCAGACUCGCAGCGGAAAGCUCAGUAACACGUGGUCAAGCUACCCUGUAGAGAGGGACACCCUCGGGAAACUGAGGCUAAUACCUCACAAGGCUCCCCCACUGGAACGGUGGGGAGCUGGAAAGGUUCCGGCGCUACAGGAUGCGGCUGCGGUCGAUUAGGUAGACGGUGGGGUAACGGCCCACCGUGCCGAUAAUUGGUACGGGUUGUGAGAGCAAGAGCCCGGAGAUGGAUUCUGAGACAAGAAUCCAGGCCCUACGGGGCGCAGCAGGCGCGAAACCUUUACACUGCACACAAGUGCGAUAGGGGGACUCCGAGUGCGAGGGCAUAGAGCCCUCGCUUUUGUGGACCGUAAGGAGGUCCACGAAUAAGGGCUGGGCAAGACCGGUGCCAGCCGCCGCGGUAAUACCGGCAGCCCGAGUGAUGGCCGAUAUUAUUGAGCCUAAAGCGUCCGUAGCCGGCCGCGCAAGUCCGUUGGGAAAUCCACCCGCUCAACGGGUGGGCGUCCAGCGGAAACUGCGCGGCUUGGGACCGGAAGACCCGAGGGGUACGUCCGGGGUAGGAGUGAAAUCCUGUAAUCCUGGACGGACCGCCGAUGGCGAAAGCACCUCGGGAGGACGGAUCCGACGGUCAGGGACGAAAGCUAGGGUCUCGAACCGGAUUAGAUACCCGGGUAGUCCCAGCUGUAAACGAUGCCCGCUAGGUGUGGCACAGGCUACGAGCCUGUGCUGUGCCGUAGGGAAGCCGAGAAGCGGGCCGCUUGGGAAGUACGUCCGCAAGGAUGA
rnacentral:rRNA from 1 species